UGAAAGGUUCUAUGAGUGCUGCAAAGA
rnacentral:piRNA from 1 species